rnacentral:rRNA from 1 species
UAGGGAAUCUUCCACAAUGGACGAAAGUCUGAUGGAGCAACGCCGCGUGAGUGAAGAAGGGUUUCGGCUCGUAAAACUCUGUUGUUAAAGAAGAACGUGGGUAAGAGUAACUGUUUACCCAGUGACAGUAUUUAACCAGAAAGCCACGGCUAACUACGUGUCAG